rnacentral:rRNA from 1 species
UACGGGAGGGAGCUAGCGUUAUUCGGAAUUACUGGGCGUAAAGCGCACGUAGGCGGCUUUGUAAGUAAGAGGUGAAAGCCUGGAGCUCAACUCCAGAACUGCCUUCGAUACUGGAGAGCUUGAGUCCGGGAGAGGUGAGUGGAACUGCGAGUGUAGAGGUGAAAUUCGUAGAUAUUCGCAAGAACACCAGUGGCGAAGGCGGCUCACUGGCCCGGUACUGACGCUGAGGUGCGAAAGCGUGGGGAGCAA